rnacentral:rRNA from 1 species
AUACGGAGGGUGCAAGCGUUAUCCGGAAUCAUUGGGUUUAAAGGGUCCGCAGGCGGACUAAUAAGUCAGUGGUGAAAUCCUCUCGCUUAACGAGAGAACUGCCAUUGAAACUGUUAGUCUUGAAUUCGGUCGAAGUAGGCGGAAUGUGUCAUGUAGCGGUGAAAUGCAUAGAUAUGACACAGAACACCGAUAGCGAAGGCAGCUUACUAGACCUGGAUUGACGCUCAUGGACGAAAGCGUGGGGAGCGAACAGGAUUAGAAACCCCAGUAGUCC